rnacentral:rRNA from 1 species
UACGAAGGGGGCUAGCGUUGCUCGGAAUCACUGGGCGUAAAGGGUGCGUAGGCGGGUUAUUAAGUCAGAGGUGAAAUCCUGGAGCUCAACUCCAGAACUGCCUUUGAUACUGAUAGUCUUGAGUAUGGGAGAGGUGAGUGGAACUGCGAGUGUAGAGGUGAAAUUCGUAGAUAUUCGCAAGAACACCAGUGGCGAAGGCGGCUCACUGGCCCAUUACUGACGCUGAGGCACGGAAAGCGUGGGGAGCAAACAGG